rnacentral:rRNA from 1 species
AGAGUGAACGCUGGCGGUAGGCCUAACACAUGCAAGUCGAACGGCAGCACAGGAGAGCUUGCUCUCUGGGUGGCGAGUGGCGGACGGGUGAGGAAUACAUCGGAAUCUACCUUUUCGUGGGGGAUAACGUAGGGAAACUUACGCUAAUACCGCAUAAGACCUUCGGGUGAAAGCCGGGGACCUUCGGGCCUGGCGCGGAUAGAUGAGCCGAUGUCGGAUUAGCUUGGUUGGCGGGGUAAAACGCCCACCAAGGCGACGAUCCGUAGCUGGUCUGAGAGAUGAUCAGCC